UACAGAGGGUGCAAGCGUUGUUCGGAAUUAUUGGGCGUAAAGCGCGUGUAGGCGGCUUUGCAAGUCGGGUGUGAAAGCCCUCAGCUCAACUGAGGAAGUGCGCCCCGAAACUGCAGAGCUUGAGUGCCGGAGAGGGUGGCGGAAUUCCCCAAGUAGAGGUGAAAUUCGUAGAUAUGGGGAGGAACACCGGUGGCGAAGGCGGCCACCUGGACGGCAACUGACGCUGAGACGCGAAAGCGUGGGGAGCAAACAGG
rnacentral:rRNA from 1 species